GGUAUAAAGGUUCACAAAGGGUUAUGAGUUAUAGUACUCGGUAAUGAUCCCUCCGUAGGUGAACCUGCGGAGGGAUCAUUA
rnacentral:rRNA from 1 species